GUGUUUGAAGAGUUGUCACGCGCCCCGAGUGAUUGUUUCACUUCAGAUCUUCCUCUUCAAAUGAACACAGUAUUUAGGUUCAACGGAGAACCCUUUGCAUGUCUCUAGGCUCUGUUUUCAUUAUUUACUCAUUAUAUUUAAGUAAAUGUCCAUCAACAAAAUAUUUGUUUAUCUACUCACCAGGGGAGUCAUUAAGCAACUGAAAAUGCCUGCAGGAAAAUUGUGUACCAACUCACUUUUAAUAUAUGAUUGAUUCCCCUUUUAAUCUUAAUAAUCAAUUCAAGCCAUAAUUCAGUAAUGAUCUGUAAAAUCUACCUAAUGUGUGGUGAAAUAUUAUCUUUUUAUUAACUUUAUUAGUUACUUACUGAUGUUGCUGGUGGAAACAUGAUUAAGGAAUAAGUCCAAUACCGACCUCUAACUGAAGGCUCUCAUAGCGUCAGUUGAAGCUCCGCCUCUGUGUUCAGUUUUAUAUAGGAUUAGUAGCUCUGAUAUCCUCACCUCUUAAACAUAUAAUUCACCCAACAUGGACUGUGGUAUAAUAAUAUACUCUCUUUUUCUGGGUAAGUGCUUCAUCCAACCUAUAUGCAAAAAUGUAAAUGGAGUAACCCUACUGUGAGUGUCUGUUUCAGGACAGAAUCUGUACCAGGACCAGAUAUCAGAGACCAGGAAGGAGGGACAGAGUGUCUCAUUCAAAUGCAGAUUUACUGGAUGUAGCACAGUCCACUGGUAUCAGUGUAGAGAGGGUGAACCCUUCACCUGGAUUCUUUCGGUUCAUGAUCAAGUUAGCUCAGACACCACUCAUCCUCAAAGAGCGGAUUUCACUGCUACGAAGCAGUCUGACUUUACUAAUCUGAAUAUCCAGUCAGUUCAUGUUUCCCAUUCUGCCACCUACUACUGUACCUGUUAUCAAAGUGGAGCUGGGUGAGAGUAUUUGGCUCUGGGACAAGACUUUAUGUGACAGGUAAGAAUCAAUAUCUCAGAUUUCUGGCAGAUAAAGUGAUAGUUGUAAUUUGUAAUUAUUUUAAAUAAU
rnacentral:lncRNA from 1 species